UGAAAUUCCCAUAGCGGAGGAAAAGAAACCAACAGGGAUUGCCUUAGUAGCGGCGAGUGAAGCGGCAAAAGCUCAAAUUUGAAAUCUGGCACCUUCGGUGUCCGAGUUGUAAUUUGAAGAUUGUAACCUUGGGGUUGGCUCUUGUCUAUGUUUCUUGGAACAGGACGUCACAGAGGGUGAGAAUCCCGUGCGAUGAGAUGCCCAAUCCUAUGUAAGGUGCUUUCGAAGAGUCGAGUUGUUUGGGAAUGCAGCUCUAAGUGGGUGGUAAAUUCCAUCUAAAGCUAAAUAUUGGCGAGAGACCGAUAGCGAACAAGUACAGUGAUGGAAAGAUGAAAAGAACUUUGAAAAGAGAGUGAAAAAGUACGUGAAAUUGUUGAAAGGGAAGGGUUUGAGAUCAGACUCGAUAUUUUGUGAGCCUUGCCUUCGUGGCGGGGUGACCCGCAGCUUAUCGGGCCAGCAUCGGUUUGGGCGGUAGGAUAAUGGCGUAGGAAUGUGACUUUGCUUCGGUGAAGUGUUAUAGCCUGCGUUGAUGCUGCCUGCCUAUGACCGAGGACUGCGAUUUAUCAAGGACGCG
rnacentral:rRNA from 1 species